rnacentral:rRNA from 1 species
AAUAGAUACCCGGGUAGUCCACGCCGUAAACGAUGAGUGCUAAGUGUUAGAGGGUUUCCGCCCUUUAGUGCUGAAGUUAACGCAUUAAGCACUCCGCCUGGGGAGUACGGCCGCAAGGCUGAAACUCAAAGGAAUUGACGGGGGCCCGCACAAGCGGUGGAGCAUGUGGUUUAAUUCGAAGCAACGCGAAGAACCUUACCAGGUCUUGACAUCCUCUGACGACCCUAGAGAUAGGGCUUCUCCUUCGGGAGCAGAGUGACAGGUGGUGCAUGGUUGUCGUCAGCUCGUGUCGUGAGAUGUUGGGUUAAGUCCCGCAACGAGCGCAACCCUUGAUCUUAGUUGCCAUCAUUAAGUUGGGCACUCUAAGGUGACUGCCGGUGACAAACCGGAGGAAGGUGGGGAUGACGUCAAAUCAUCAUGCCCCUUAUGACCUGGGCUACACACGUGCUACAAUGGACGGUACAAAGAGCUGCAAGACCGCGAGGUGGAGCUAAUCUCAUAAAACCGUUCUCAGUUCGGA